rnacentral:ncRNA from 2 species
AAUAACCGCAGGGGGAGCCUCGUGCUGAGAGUGAACAAUUCGUUGUUCUGACCCUUUGAACCUGUCAGUUAAUACUGAAGUAGGAAUGUGGAAUCACUUGCAU